GAAGUGAGGAUAGAAGGCCAAAUAUGGCUUCAGCUACAACAGAUCUCUUGAUUGGCAAAAUUGUAGGCAUCCUCGAGAAUGAAGCAUCCGCCAUAGCCGGUGUUGGUGAUCAAGUUGAUGAGAUUAAACAGGAGCUUCUAUACAUGAAAUCCUUCCUGAAAGAUGCUGAGGGCAAGGAACCACACACGGAAGGAGAGAAAACGUGGGUUACAAUGGUGAGAAACUUGGCCUUUAAAGCUGAAGUUAUCAUUGACAAAUUCAUGUAUGACAUGUAUGAGCAGCAAAGUCAGGGUAGAUUCGCGAGGUGGCUCCAGAAACCCAUUCACCUUCCAAAGAUUCUUUGGUAUAGGCGUCAAGUCGCCAUUGAGUUACAGAAAAUCACAAGAACGAUCAAAGCCAUUCCAGAGAGGAAUCAAAGAUAUGGUGUUGGUUCCCUAAGCAGUUCGUCUAAUGAUAAUCACAAAUGGGUGAAGAACCAAGCGGAUCAGUCUUCUCUUUUCAUUAAGGAAGAUGAGCUCGUGGGGAUUGAAAGAAAGAAGCAAACAUUGAUGGAAAGGCUGAUGAGUGAAGAACGACACCAAAUGGUUGUGUCCGUGGUCGGUAUGGGAGGAUCAGGGAAGACCACUCUAGUUGCCAAGACCUUCACCGAUGAAACUAUAAAGAGAUAUUUCGACUGUUAUGCAUGGAUAACUGUUUCCCAAACCUACGUGAUUGAAGACUUAUUUAGAAGCUUGAUCAAGGAAUUUCACCGAUCAAGAAAGGAAGAGGUCCCUCCAAGCAUAAGUUCUCUUGAACAUACAGAACUGGUAGAGAUGCUUCGCAACUACUUGGAUGCUAAAAGGUACCUUGUUGUACUAGAUGAUGUGUGGGAUAUCAAACUUUGGGUCGCUUCCAGAUAGAAGAGCUCUUGGAAACCGGAUCUUGCUUACAACUCGAAAUCAAGAAAUUGCAUUGUAUCCUUAUGGAGUAGAAAGCCAUGUUUAUCGAAUUGAACUCCUGGAAAAGGAUGAGGCUUGGGAGCUCUUUAACAAGAAAGCAUUCUCAACUUAUCAUGAGCAAUGCUGUCCACCAGAGUUUGAAUCAUUAGCUUCGGAACUUGUGGAAAAGUGUGAAGGCUUGCCUCUUGCAAUCGUGGCCUUAAGUGGUGUUCUGUCUUCCAAGGGGUCCCCUACAGAGUGGAGCAAAGUGUACAACAGCUUGAAUUGGCAGCUAACAAACAACCCUUUGCUAAAACCUAUGAGGACCAUCUUGUUGCUUAGUUUCGAUGAUUUGCCAUAUCAAUUGAAGCAUUGUUUCAUGUACUGUUCCCUUUUCCCAGAAGACUAUUUGAUCGAUGGAGAAAGGCUCAUUAGAUUGUGGUUGGCUGAAGGAUUUGUUGAGCAAGUUGACGGGCUCACACCGGAAGAAGUUGCAGAGAACUAUCUUAUAGAACUUAUUCGUCGUAGCAUGCUAAAAGUUGAAGAUCGGACUGACAUGGGAAAGGCCCUAGCAUAUAAAAUGCACGACAUUUUGCGCGAGCUUGCUCUAUCCAUGUCACAAAAAGAAAAUUUUGCUGCAAACUACGUUGGGAGAGAAAUGAGAAAGGUUACAGCACGUCGUUUGUCAAUUCAAACAACUGAAGGAGAAAUUAGCUCAAUAAAAGGUUUGUCAGAGCUCCGUUCUUUUCUUUUCUUUGUCACUAGCACAUUUUCACUGCCUUCUAGAUCUAAAUUGUUGAAGGUUCUAGAUUUGGAGAAAGUCCCCAUUGAUAAGCUCCCAAGUGGAUUAGUGUAUUUAUUUAACUUGAGGUAUUUAAAUUUGAGGGGAACUUCAAUUAAGGAGCUUCCAAAAUUUAUAGGAAGACUUGGAAACCUUGAAACCUUGGACAUAUCACACACCAAAAUAGAAGCACUUCCAAGAGGAGUUUCCAAGUUGUUAAACCUGCGCCAUCUACUUAUGUACCAUCACACUUGGGACGACGUUGGAUUUAAAUACCUCAAGGGGACACGAGUACCAUCAAAUAUUAGUGAGUUGAAGAAAUUGCAGGUGUUGGAAAAAUUUGAAUCAGACGGAAACAUUGCAGGACUCGUUGGAAGUAUGACCCAGCUUAGACAGCUUGGCAUUACGAAUGUGAAAGGAAGUGACGAAAUGGACCUAUGUGACUCGAUUCAAAAGAUGAAGCAGCUUCGCAACUUGAGUUUGACGGCAACGAAUGCAGAUGAAUUUCUUAAGGUCGACAAGCUAUCUUCACCUCCUCCGCAUCUUGAAAUUGUUUCUUUAGCUGGGAAACUGCACAAAGCACCAGUUUGGUUUUGUUCACUACAAAGCCUCACACAUCUCCAUCUGCAUUGGGCUAAACUUGAAAACGAUGAGCUACUACCUCAAAUUGAAGCAUUGCCAUGUUUGGCAAGUCUUGACCUUUUUAAUGCCUACAUUGGGAAGGAGCUGUACUUCGGUGGAGGCUUUCCAAAGCUUACACGUUUAGUUUUGUCUAAUCUCCUCUUUUUGAGUAAGAUCACUAUAGAAAAAGGGGUUAUGCCAAAUCUCAAGUCUCUAUUUCUUAAUAGCUGCAUUGAAUUGAAGACAUUGCCACUGGGUAUUGAGUACCUUCUUAAUCUAAACACAUUGGAAUUGGUGUAUCUUCCAACGCAACUUGUAGACUCCAUACGAGAAGGAGGUGUGGAUCGUCCAAAGGUGCAACACAUUCCCAAAAUCCACAAUUAUUACACAACAUCGUCUGGAAGUACGUCUUAUGAAAGCCUGUCCUAUACAUAGAUAGCACCACGGCAGAUUGUUUUGCUGCACCCAGUUUGGCCCAUGAAGAACCUGCAAAGAGUUUGCCUCUUCUCAAUGGCGUCCCAGCCAGAUUCUGUUCAAAAGGUUCACCUUGUUAUUGUUUGUUUGCAUGAAAUAAUACUGGAGAUGGAAUGUGUGUGUGUCAAUUCUACGUUAGCAGCGUGGGUUGAACAUGAAGAUUCG